rnacentral:lncRNA from 1 species
UUUACUGACCGGCAAUAUAGCGAAUAUGGCGACCGCCUGAUGUCGUGUGGAUACAUUUUAUAAUACAUGUGUUGAUACACGCUGCAAACGGCCCUGUUAGCACCGUUAGUGUGUUAGUCACGCCGCAUUUGACGUCUUGGUUUAAACAAAACUGUGAAGGAGCUGCUGCUGUCUGGACCAUGGAGGCUGCACCAAAAGAUCAGGCCCAGCCUGUGAAGGCGCCAAUGAUCUACAUAUGUGGGGAGUGCCAGCAG